UACGGAGGGUGCAAGCGUUGUUCGGAAUUACUGGGCGUAAAGGGCGCGCAGGCGGCCUGCCAAGUCAGAUGUGAAAUGCCAUGGCUUAACCAUGGACGUGCAUUUGAAACUGGUGGGCUUGAGUACCAGAGGGGAAGGUGGAAUUCCCGGUGUAGAGGUGGAAUUCGUAGAUAUCGGGAGGAAUACCGGUGGCGAAGGCGACUUUCUGGCUGGAUACUGACGCUGAGGCGCGAAAGACGUGGGGAGGCAAACAGGAUUAGAUACCCGGGUACGGU
rnacentral:rRNA from 1 species